AGUGCGUAAUAGCUCACUAGUCGAGUGACACUGCGCCGAAAAUGUACCGGGGCUAAACAUAUUACCGAAGCUGUGGAUUGUCCUUUGGACAAUGGUAGGAGAGCGUUCUAAGGGCGUUGAAGCAUGAUCGUAAGGACAUGUGGAGCGCUUAGAAGUGAGAAUGCCGGUGUGAGUAGCGAAAGACGGGUGAGAAUCCCGUCCACCGAUUGACUAAGGUUUCCAGAGGAAGGCUCGUCCGCUCUGGGUUAGUCGGGUCCUAAGCUGAGGCCGACAGGCGUAGGCGAUGGAUAACAGGUUGAUAUUCCUGUACCACCUAUAAUCGUUUUAAUCGAUGGGGGGACGCAGUAGGAUAGGCGAAGCGUGCGAUUGGAUUGCACGUCUAAGCAGUAAGGCUGAGUAUUAGGCAAAUCCGGUACUCGUUAAGGCUGAGC
rnacentral:rRNA from 1 species